UACGUAGGGUGCGAGCGUUAAUCGGAAUUACUGGGCGUAAAGCGUGCGCAGGCGGUUCGUCGUGUCCGAGGUGAAAGCCCCGGGCUCAACCUGGGAAUGGCAUUGGAAACUGGCGGACUCGAGUGUGGCAGAGGGGGGUGGAAUUCCGCGUGUAGCAGUGAAAUGCGUAGAGAUGCGGAGGAACACCGAUGGCGAAGGCAGCCCCCUGGGUUAACACUGACGCUCAGGCACGAAAGCGUGGGGAGCAAACAGG
rnacentral:rRNA from 1 species